rnacentral:SRP_RNA from 1 species
GCUGGGCACGGUCACAUGUGCCUGUAAUCCCAGCUACUUAAGAGGCUGAGGCAGGAGAAUUGCUUGAACCCAGGAGUCCAAGGUUGCAGUGAGCUGAGAUCAUGCCACUGCACUCCAGCCUGGGUGACAGAGUGAGACCCUGUCUCAA